CCCCUCAUUCACUCGACAUCUCCCUCCUUUCUCCUUCUCCAUCUUUUUUCUUCUUCUCCUCCAUUCUUCCUCUGAAACCCUAAGCCACACAUAACCCUCUUCUUCUCCCAUGGAAAACGCCACCACCACGUUCCAGCCGCCACCACCACGAGCGAGCCCUCCUCAUGCGCGCCCGCAGCUGGCCCCAACACCAUCACCGCGUCUUCUUCUUCUCUCCUUGGCUGCAACCACCGCGAACUUCCGUGAGCCACCCCCAGAACUCGUUUCUCCUCCCUCCCAUGCCUUGAUUGAUGGACUGUUGGCCUAGGAAUCGAAAGAAAACGGAGAAAAAGAAACCCUAACCACCGCCGCCUUCAAACUCCGAUCUCCGGCGAACGACUGAGCUUUUGGAAAAACCAACCACACCAUGGAACUCCCCUCGCCGUGCGCUGCAAAACCUCUAAAGAAAUUUUGGACUCCGACCACCUUCACCGGAAACCGCCGCCAACCACCGUCUUCUCCGGCCAACGUUCGCCGGAGAAGUCACUGAACUCAGAACCAGGGGGCUCUCCCUCUACUCUCGCCGAAUUAAUGGUCAAUUUUUGCUUGAUGAUCUCUGGUGGGGAGGACAACCAUGACCAGCAAGGGAUAACCCUUCCUCUGCCUUCAACUUUGAUAGGGUUGACAUUCUUAACUGCAUCAAAUGAUUACUAGAGUCUUUAUGCUCCUCUUAGUCAUAAAUCAUUGUCAAUUUUGCUGUCCAAGUGCCUUGUAAAAAUUAAUGAAGGAAUAUAGAAUAGUGUAUGUGUGUGUGGUGUGAGUGAUAGUGUUAUGGUUGUUGAUUUCUGAGGGCAUGACGGUUCAGCCCUUGCUGUGCUUGAAAAGCUUUUGCGAAAACUCAUACAAAACUGAUGUUGUUUUCGAAUGUAGUAGCCGUUGUUCUGUCAAGUUCGUGUGUUUCAGUUUAGAUUUUGGAACUCUGUUCAUAAAAAUUGUAGCUUUUUCUGUUAGCAAACUUUUGCCGCUGGUUUCGUGUCGUUUUGAUUUCUCAAACUCAAGUUAUACGCAUUUUGGUGAGCACGGGUUAAGUUGUCCCGUUUCUCAUGAACUACUGUAGUAUUUGAUUUUUCCCGAAUUUUGUACUUCGAAUUUGGACUUGGAAAUUUAUGAGGAUUUACAAAACUUGUAAAAGAAGCCAUGAUAAAAAUAUUAGAUUUUUCUGAGUUUAUUUGACGUAUUUAAAAAUUAGCUAAAGUCGUUGUACAGUUAUGUUCGUUUUGACAAAACCAGUUAUUUCAAGCGAAAAAUCGUUGUUUGUGGAAAAGGUUGAGUAAACCUUUUAUUUUAAAAUUAUAUUACAAUGUUUGGAGUAAGAAAACAUCUUUUGAAACUUACUUAUGUACGUUGUUUAUUUGUUUAUGAAAAUCAAGAACGUUUGAGUCUUUACGCACAUUUAUUCGUUAAAAAGCGAUUGCGAAAAGUUUUGAAAGUCGAACAAGAUUUUGGAGUAUUAGAGAAUAAGUGUUCGAAUAUUACCUCUUUGUUAAUCGAUGUUUAGGAAUAACAUGAUUGGAUAGGGAUAGAACAAUUAAGUUAGGAUUUCUGAGUGAAGAAUUAGACUUCGAAAGGUAUUAAUUAGAAUGGAUUAAGUUGUGAUGGCAAUCUUGAUGUUGGAAGAUAUGACUUAGGAUUGAAUCUUGAAUUCUAAGAAGUUUAUGAGCUUUACUAUAAAUACUUGAUUUUAGAAGGUCUAGAUUUGAAACUUUGGAAGUUCGAGGACUUAGAAGUAAUUAAGGGAUUAAUUGAGGACUAGAUGUCGUAUCUUAGAGAUCGAGGACUCAUCUAUAAAUUUGUAAUUUUGUAGAACCAAAGUGGAGUUUCAAAGAGAAUAUUGUUUUGUUUCUAAUGAGAUAUCACGAGUUUAAGUUUAAGAGAAAUGAUUCGAUCGUUUUGAAGGAGCUUAUGAGUCUUGAAUAAGUACAUGAUCAUUAGAUAAGAAGAGUUGUUUGUCUUGGAAGUUAACUAUGGUUUAUGAAUUUCUUUAUAAGAGUUAGUGAAUUUGAUAAGAAUUGAUAAGGAUACAGUGUUGACUUGAGGUAUCGAUUGCGAGAGUAACGUUAAGACGUUAAGUUGUUGUAACUUAUUUGAUAAGAAAGUCUUGAGAAUAAAGAGAAUGGUGGAAUAGAAGAGGGAAGAGAUUACUUAAGGAUGAUGAUAGGAGAACGUUAUCUUGAGAUGAUAGGUAUUGAUUGUUUUAACUAAGAGUUUGGUGUGCGUAGUAUUGCGAAAAUACCUCAAUGAGUAUCCUAAUAAAGACUGAGGACUCUAAGGAAGACGAGAGGAAUAAGUGUUCUUUAAUUGCACCUUCUCUUUUGACAAGCAUAUGAGUAUUUGGUUUUAUAGUUGAUUUACUAAGUCAAAAAAUUUUGAAGCAUUGUUAUUGCUUUGUUGUCAUUAUGAUGACUUAUCUUAAUUUCUGAAGUUGAUCUUCAUGGUUUAUAACCAUUAAGGAAAUUGAGUUUAACUUGUGAUUUCUUCGGGUCAAUUGCUUGAGAUUGUAGCUUUAGACUUGGAAAGUAGGUAGCUCAAUUAGUAAUUACGUUAUGUGUACUUAUGAAGGGUACGAAUAACGGAAGCGUUUGACGACGAAGCCAAAGGACAAAAGGAAGUGAACUAACACGGGAAAGCAAAUAUAUGAUUGGAUUGGAUUUGAGUCACAGCUUAGUAAGGAAAGCGCCUAAGACGACGACCGGUGAUGAUGUGAGCAGAUGCUACUCUAUGUGGAAGGACUAUAGAAGACUCGAAGAAUAUAGUCGGGUCUAAGGCUAAAGCCUUGGGUAGAAAAGCUUAUCGUUAUUGGUUUAAGCUUGCAGGAUCAUUUUAUGAUUUGUAUUUGAGGUUUUGGGUAGGUUCCGGUGCAUUGCUUUCCUAUGGUUACCCAGUGUGGAAAUCAUAGGGAGUAUAUCGGAUCUAUGGAGUCAUUACAUAGUGGGUUCGUUGUUGGAUCUUAUUUUAAUUGUCAUGUCUUUUAUGUUGUGCAUUGGUCAAGGCCAGAUGUAAAUUAUUUACGGUUGGGAGUA